rnacentral:rRNA from 1 species
UAACACCAGCGCCACGAGUGGGAAUCGCGAUUAUUGGGCCUAAAGCGUCCGUAGCCGGUUUAAUAAAUCUUUAGUGAAAUCGUUGGGCUUAACCCAACGGCGUGCUAGAGACACUGUUAGACUAGGAACCGGGAGGAGUUAGAAGUAUAUUUGGGGGAGCGGUAAAAUGCAAUAAUCCCAAAUAGACUACCUGUGGCGAAGGCGUCUAACUAGAACGGAUUCGACGGUGAGGGACGAAAGCUAGGGGAGCGAACCGGAUUAGAUACCCGAGUAGUCCUAGCAGUAAACGCUGCGAGCUAGGUGUUGCACAUUCUCUAUGGAUGUGCAGUGUCGAAGCGAAGGUGAUAAGCUCGCCGCCUGGGAAGUACGGUCGCAAGGCUG